rnacentral:rRNA from 1 species
AUUGAACGCUGGCGGCAUGCCUUACACAUGCAAGUCGAACGGUAACAGGUUAAGCUGACGAGUGGCGAACGGGUGAGUAAUAUAUCGGAACGUGCCCAAUCGUGGGGGAUAACGCAGCGAAAGUUGUGCUAAUACCGCAUAAGAUCUACGGAUGAAAGCGGGGGAUCGCAAGACCUCGCGCGAGUGGAGCGGCCGAUAUCAGAUUAGCUAGUUGGUGGGGUAAAGGCCCACCAAGGCGACGAUCUGUAGCUGGUCUGAGAGGACGACCAGCCACACUGGGACUGAGACACGGCCCAGACUCCUACGGGAGGCAGCAGUGGGGAAUUUUGGACAAUGGGCGCAAGCCUGAUCCAGCAAUGCCGCGUGCAGGAUGAAGGCCUUCGGGUUGUAAACUGCUUUUGUACGGAGCGAAAAAGCUCUCUCUAGUACAGAGGGCUCAUGACGGUACCGUAAGAAUAAGCACCGGCUAACUACGUGCCAGCCGCCGCAGUAA